UGGUGAGCUACGAGGUGGGCCUGUGCAUCUACGGCAAGUAACCUGGCCUGCCCGCCUGGUAUUGGGUAUAAAAAUAUUAUUAUGACGUUAGGUAAUUGUAUGUGUUGAGGCGAGAACCGGGGACCUCCUGAUGGCCUAAAUGUAUGGCAUUGCAUGACAUGACCUCGUGCGUCUGUUAAAUUCGACAGCAUUAGCGGUACUGUUUUGCAGCCCGUGAGUUAGUGCUGUAUCAAUGAAUUCCUCCAGUGAUAUUAGUAUUUUAGAACUGCUUAAUAAUCAAGUGCAUG
rnacentral:lncRNA from 1 species